GCGGUGGCAGGGUAGCGGCCAGUUUUGAAAACUGGUCCCAGGUUCGAGUCCUGGUGGGCGCACCA
rnacentral:tRNA from 1 species